ensembl:lncRNA novel transcript
GGACAUCACGGACCUACCAAUAUGAUGUCACCCCUGGAGGCCCAGCUGUAAAAUUCCUCUCUUUGUACUCUUUCUCUUUAUUUCUCAGACCGGCCAACACUUACAGGAAACAAAAAUAACCUACAUUGAAAUAUUGGGGGCGACAGACCAUGGGAAUGCAAGUAUCUCUUCAACAUCCUGAUUUCAAUUAUUUUGAAGAAACCCUGGCAGCCUCGGCAUCACCUCAUCAGCAGGUUUGCAACUUGCAACCACUUCCCAGCACUUGGCAAAAGAAGGCAAGAAAGCCGCCCUGUUCUCCUGUGAUGUCUUUACUAAGUAACUGCGGAAGGACCAGUGCAUUUUCUACCUUCCAAGGCAGACACUCUGGCACCUGAGAGUGAUGAUCUUGUGUAAACCAAUCAGGGUACUGGAUAAAUACAGCUCUGAUGCCUCUGGUAUGCCAGUGGCUUUAGUGUAUGGUAGAACCAAGGUAAUAAUAGUAUUCUGUGGUAUGUGUGACAUCUUCCUUAUCAGCAGUAAGCCAAGAUUUUUUUUAGAGUCAAUAUCAACUACAAUCUUGCAGCGUCAUAACGUUUAAAUAAAUUACAACAGUUAGACCCCAAGAGGUUGGUUCUUGACUUUAAGCAGUCUUUCCUGCUUGCUUUAGAGAUUUAAAAUAAUUCAACUUCCUGGAAAAGAACCCUAAAAAUAAGCCCCUAGAAUUAUAAAAACAAUGUAAAAGAUCGCCAUCAUUAC